GGGAGUAGCCGUCCGCGCGCCGUUUCAGGCAGCGCGCGGAGCCUGCGUCAACACAAUUGCCGGUCGGCAUGGCGCAGGCAUCUUCCCGCCGGAAGACUGGCAAGACUUGGGGCAUACCGACGCAUUCCGUGCGGGGCGUUUGGUGUGCCUUUUGUCUGUCCGCACGGUUU
rnacentral:sRNA from 2 species